AAUGAACGCUGGCGGCGUGCCUAAUACAUGCAAGUCGAGCGAACGGACCAGAAUCUUUCUUCUCUGAUUUUAUCGGCGGACGGGUUAUUAACACUUCGAUAACCUACCUAUAAGACUUGGAUCACUUUGGGAAACCGGAUCUACUACCCGAUAAUAUUUUGGACCGCAUUGUUCCCCCGUGAAAGACGGUCUUUCUGUCGCUUAUAGAUUGAUCCGCGCUGAAUUAGUUAGUUGGUUAGGUAACUGCUUACCAAGGCAACGAUGCAUAGCCGACCUGAGAGGGUGAUCGGCAACACGGGAACUGAGACAGGGUCAAGACACCUACGGGAGGCAGCAGUAGGGAAUCUUCCGCAAGGGGCGAAAGCGUGACGGAGCAAAGUCGCGUGAGUGAUGAAGGUCUUAGGAUCGUAAAACGCUGUUAGUAGGGAAGAACAAAUGUGUAAGUAACAGGGAAGAUAUUGACGGUACCUAAUCAAAAAGCCACGGCUAACUACGUG
rnacentral:rRNA from 1 species